GUGAGUAGUUCAGAGUUUGAUCCUGGCUCAGGAUGAACGCUGGCGGCGUGCUUAACACAUGCAAGUCGAACGAAGCACUUAUGAUUGAGAUUUCGGUUGAUUUUAUAAGUGACUUAGUGGCGGACGGGUGAGUAACGCGUGGGUAACCUGCCUCGUACAGGGGGAUAACAGUUAGAAAUGACUGCUAAUACCGCAUAACCCGCUAGGGCCGCGUGGCCCGGACGGAAAAGAUUUAUCGGUACGAGAUGGACCCGCGUCUGAUUAGCUAGUUGGUGAGGUAACGGCCCACCGAGGCGACGAUCAGUAGCCGGCCUGAGAGGGUGAACGGCCACAUUGGGACUGAGACACGGCCCAA
rnacentral:rRNA from 1 species